CCUACGGGAGGCAGCAGUGAGGAAUAUUGGUCAAUGGACGAGAGUCUGAACCAGCCAAGUCGCGUGAAGGAUGACUGCCCUAUGGGUUGAAAACUUCUUUUAUAUGGGAAUAAAAUGUUCCACGUGUGGGAUUUUGUAUGUACCAUAUGAAUAAGGAUCGGCUAACUCCGUGCCCGCAGCCGCGGUAAUACGGAGGGUCUGAGCGUUAUCCGGAUUUAUUUGGUUUUAAGGGAUGGUAGGUGGAUUGUUAAGUUAGUGGGGAAAGUGUGCGGCUCAACCGUAAAAUUGCAGUUGAAACUGGCAGUCUUGAGUACAGUAGAGGUGGGCGGAAGGCGUGGUGUAGCGGUGAAAUGCUUAGAUAUCACGAAGAACUCCGAUUGCGAAGGCAGUUCACUGGACUGCAACUGACACUGAGGCUCGAAAGUGUGGGUAUCAAACAGGAUUAGAUACCCCGGUAGUC
rnacentral:rRNA from 1 species